rnacentral:rRNA from 1 species
GACGAACGCUGGCGGCGUGCCUAAUACAUGCAAGUAGAACGCUGAAGGAGGAGCUUGCUUCUCUGGAUGAGUUGCGAACGGGUGAGUAACGCGUAGGUAACCUGCCUGGUAGCGGGGGAUAACUAUUGGAAACGAUAGCUAAUACCGCAUAAGAGUAGAUGUUGCAUGACAUUUGCUUAAAAGGUGCAAUUGCAUCACUACCAGAUGGACCUGCGUUGUAUUAGCUAGUUGGUGAGGUAACGGCUCACCAAGGCAACGAUACAUAGCCGACCUGAGAGGGUGAUCGGCCACACUGGGACUGAGACACGGCCCAGACUCCUACGGGAGGCAGCAGUAGGGAAUCUUCGGCAAUGGACGGAAGUCUGACCGAGCAACGCCGCGUGAGUGAAGAAGGUUUUCGGAUCGUAAAGCUCUGUUGUAAGAGAAGAACGAGUGUGAGAGUGGAA